AUUGAACGCUGGCGGCAGGCCUAACACAUGCAAGUCGAACGAGUGGCGGACGGGUGCGUAAUGUCUGGGCAACUGCCCGAUGGAGGGGGAUAACUACUGGAAACGGUAGCUAAUACCGCAUACCAUCGGAUGUGCCCAGAUGGGAUUAGCUAGUAGGUGGGGUAAUGGCUAACCUAGGCGACUAUCCCUAGCUGGUCUGAGAGGAUGAUAAGCCACACUGGAACGGAGACACGGUCCAGACUCCUACGGGAGGCAGCAGUGGGAAAUAUGGCACAAUGGGCGCAAGCCUGAGGCAGCCAUGCCGCGUGUAUGAAGAAGGCCUUCGGGUUGUAAAGUACUUUCAGCGAGGAGGCGUUACUCGCAGAAGAAGCACCGGCUAACUCCGUGCCAGCAGCCGCGGUAAUAC
rnacentral:rRNA from 1 species